UGCAAGUCGAACGAACUCUUCGGAGUUAGUGGCGGACGGGUGAGUAACACGUGGGAACGUGCCUUUAGGUUCGGAAUAACUCAGGGAAACUUGUGCUAAUACCGAAUGUGCCCUUCGGGGGAAAGAUUUAUCGCCUUUAGAGCGGCCCGCGUCUGAUUAGCUAGUUGGUGAGGUAAAGGCUCACCAAGGCGACGAUCAGUAGCUGGUCUGAGAGGAUGAUCAGCCACAUUGGGACUGAGACACGGCCCAAACUCMUACGGGAGGCAGCAGUGGGGAAUCUUGCGCAAUGGGCGAAAGCCUGACGCAGCCAUGCCGCGUGAAUGAUGAAGGUCUUAGGAUUGUAAAAUUCUUUCACCGGGGACGAUAAUGACGGUACCCGGAGAAGAAGCCCCGGCUAACUUCGUGCCAGCAGCCGCGGUAAUACGAAGGGGGCUAGCGUUGCUCGGAAUUACUGGGCGUAAAGGGAGCGUAGGCGGACAUUUAAGUCAGGGGUGAAAUCCCGGGGCUCAACCUCGGAAUUGCCUUUGAUACUGGGUGUCUUGAGUAUGAGAGAGGUGUGUGGAACUCCGAGUGUAGAGGUGAAAUUCGUAGAUAUUCGGAAGAACACCAGUGGCGAAGGCGACACACUGGCUCAUUACUGACGCUGAGGCUCGAAAGCGUGGGGAGCAAACAGGAUUAGAUACCCUGGUAGUCCACGCCGUAA
rnacentral:rRNA from 1 species